rnacentral:lncRNA from 1 species
GGACGACAUCACUCUAAAGUGCUGGGACGGAGCAUAACUGGUAAGACCGUUCACAGGACACCAGAGAGAUUGGGGCCAGAGUUUGGGUCCAGGUAGAAGGAAGGAAGGGAAUCGGGGACCUUGUGUGUGCCAGGCUCGCCCUCUGUACCAGGUACGGCAGAAAGGAAAGGAUCUAAAGACACGCUUGUGUCUCAGUCUAUCAAGCUACUGAAACGACGGGCACUAGAGAUAUGGGACUUCCCCCAGGAAUGGCAUGCGGAGAGAAGGAAAAGGCACCAGCUCAAGGAGGGGACUUAACGUCGUUGGAAAGAGAUUUCGCCCAGUUCUCCGGAACUGAAGCACAGACACAGAAGGCUCAGUGGUGGGCGGGACCACACCUUGGCCCGGGCUAAAUAGCUGUGCAAGUCCCUGGCUUCUAUUAAACUUUGAUUUCUCCUUAGGGCCAGUGGAUUUUGGUGGCAUUUGCCGGAUCUCUGUGCUUCUCUUCCCAAUGUGGCCACAUUAAAUACAUCUCCCUUUCUG